AUGUAUAGGUACAUUUAAGUGAUCUGAGUGACCAGGCCCUGGUAUCGUGGAUAUGUCUACCAGGUAUUUAUAGGUAAGUGAUCUGAGUGACCAGGCCCUGGUAUCGUGGAUCUAUCUACCAGGUAAAUAUUUAUAGGUAAGUGAUCUGAGUGACCAGACCCUGGUAUCGUGGAUCUAUAUACCAGGUAAAUAUGUAUAGGUAAGUGAUCUGAGUGACCAGGCCCUGGUAUUGUGGAUCUGUCUACCAGGUAAAUAUUUAUAGGUAAGUGAUCUGAGUGACCAGGCCCUGGUAUCGUGGAUCUAUCUACCAGGUAAAUAUUUAUAGGUAAGUGAUCUGAGU